rnacentral:rRNA from 1 species
GACGUAGGGGGCGAGCGUUGUCCGGAUUUAUUGGGCGUAAAGAGCGCGUAGGCGGCCCGGAAAGUCGGAUGUGAAAACCCGGGGCUCAACCCCGGGCCUGCAUCCGAUACUCCUGGGCUGGAGGCAGGUAGGGGAGAUCGGAAUUCCUGGUGUAGCGGUGAAAUGCGCAGAUAUCAGGAGGAACACCGGUGGCGAAGGCGGAUCUCUGGGCCUGUCCUGACGCUGAGGCGCGAAAGCUAGGGGAGCGAACAGG